rnacentral:rRNA from 1 species
CCCUUAGAUGUUCUGGGCCGCACACGCGCUACACUGAAUGAGGCAGCGUGUACUCCUGGAUCGAAAGAUUUGGGUAACCCGCGAAUCUCCUUCGUGCUAGGGAUUGAGGUUUGCAAUUAUCCUUCAUGAACGAGGAAUUCCCAGUAAGUGCAAGUCAUAAGCUUGCGCUGACUACGUCCCUGCCCUUUGUACACACCGCCCGUCGCUACUACCGAUUGAAUGAUUUAGUGAGGACUUCGGACUGGGACCGAUGCGGCUUUCGGGCUGCGUCGGUAUUCUGGAAAGAUGUCCAAACUGUAUCAUUUAGAGGAAGUAAAAGUCGUAACA